AUAUUUUGAUACAAUUUUUGCUUUUGAGUUCUCGAGGAGCUCUCUGAAAAUCGACUCUUCUUCAUCUCAUCUUCAUCUCCAUUUUGCUAUGUUUUCAUGGUAUCAGAGCGGGCGAUCUUCGGACGAUUCUCCGUCAUUUGUUAUUAACUCUGUCAGAGUUGUAUUGAAGAUUUUUUUUUGGAUAUUUGUGAGAGAUUUUGUUGUUGACAAACUCUAUGUGUAUCGAGCGGUCAAUCGGAACUUUUACCGUUAUCUGAUGGUUCAAUCUUCC
rnacentral:lncRNA from 1 species